UGGGGAAUCUUGCGCAAUGGGCGAAAGCCUGACGCAGCCAUGCCGCGUGGAUGAUGAAGGUCUUAGGAUUGUAAAAUCCUUUCACCGGGGACGAUAAUGACGGUACCCGGAGAAGAAGCCCCGGCUAACUUCGUGCCAGCAGCCGCGGUAAUACGAAGGGGGCUAGCGUUGCUCGGAAUUACUGGGCGUAAAGGGCGCGUAGGCGGACAGUUAAGUCGGGGGUGAAAGCCCGGGGCUCAACCUCGGAAUUGCCUUCGAUACUGGCUGUCUUGAGUGCGGGAGAGGUGUGUGGAACUCCGAGUGUAGAGGUGAAAUUCGUAGAUAUUCGGAAGAACACCAGUGGCGAAGGCGACACACUGGCCCGUUACUGACGCUGAGGCGCGAAAGCGUGGGGAGCAAACAGG
rnacentral:rRNA from 1 species